UACAGAGGUCUCAAGCGUUGUUCGGAUUCAUUGGGCGUAAAGGGCGCGUAGGCUGCGGGGCAAGUCGGGUGUGAAAUCUCAGAGCUCAACUCUGAAACUGCACUCGAUACUGCUUUGCUUGAGGACUGGAGAGGAGAUUGGAAUUCACGGUGUAGCAGUGAAAUGCGUAGAUAUCGAGAGGAACACCUGCGGCGAAGGCGGGUUGCUGGGCUGAUACUGACGCUGAGGCGCGAAAGCCAGGGGAGCGAACGGG
rnacentral:rRNA from 1 species